UACCAAGUUGGGAGGGAUAAUGUUCGAUGCUGUUUCUCUGUAUCUCCUGUUACUGCUGUUCGCAGCUGGCUGCAAGAGCACCUUAAUCUUCCAGUCGGAGAACAUAUUGUCUGUUGGAGAAGGGAAGACGGCGGAGAUGCACUGUUACCAAAAUGAUACUAACCAUAACUACAUGUACUGGUACCGUCAGCUAAGGGGAGCACGCCUGCAGCUCAUAGCAACCUCGAUUGGUACUGCAGCACCCACGUUCGAAGAGGAUUUCAAGGCAAGAUUUGAAGGCACCAGGCAUGAUCUUAAAUCAUGCAGUUUAAAAAUCCUUCAGCUGCAGACGUCUGAUACCGCACUUUAUUACUGUGCUGCCAGUGAACACAGCAAUACAAACAAGUGCAGGUCUGUUGCUAAAACCGAGCAAGCAGAUGUAAGCAGAUGGAUUGGGAACCUCGAGUUCACAACGAUCAUAAUUGCACCCACUCCUCACUAA